AUGUAUCAUGAGCAGAACCUUGGUAGAGCCCAGGAUAAUGAGGCUCAUGGGACAGAGGUUGCAAAACUGCAGAAGGAGCUUGAUUCUCUAGCCAAUCAGUAUAGCCAACUGGUGGAUGAUUUGUCCAAGUUGUUUGAUUAUCAGGCUGGAAAGAAAUGUCAUGACAUGGAUUGCACAAGCCAGGCAAUGAAUGAACUGAAGGAGAAGAAGAAGCAACUUGAGGAGCAGGCAAAAAUUGAGCUUCAAAUGGAGAAGCUUAAGCUCAAGAAAGAACAGAGGUGCAUCCUUCAGAGUCAAGCUGAUAUAAUCAAGAACACAAGGAAGGCCAUGAAGGAGAUAGAUGUGGACAGAGACCUCCUUAAAGAAGAGAAGAAGAACAUGGAGAAUGUCAUUGCUGAGCUCCUGAAGGUUGGUCAUGGGUGCAAGGAAAAGCUGGACAAGAUCAAGGAAGUUAUGAUGGAGGAGUGA
rnacentral:rRNA from 1 species